rnacentral:lncRNA from 1 species
GCUGCAUUAAUUAUGGACUGUAACGGCGCAAGUUGGGAGCACGUAAGACCACUGAGAAGCAGAUUACAGUAGUCAAGGCGAGAAAGGACAGUGGAAUGGAUCAACAACUUAGUCGCAUCUGGCAUUAAGUAGGGGUGGAUGCGCGCAAUGUUUUUGAGAUGGAAAUGACAGGAUUUGGCGAUAGAUUGAACAUGAGGUUUGAAGGAGAGGUCAGAGUCAAAGAGAACACCUAGGCAGCGAGCCUGCAUAGUGGAGCUGAUGGUAGCACCAUAGACUUGGAGGGAGACAGACACAGGAGUAACAACACUUGAGGGAGGAAAGACCAGAAUUUCAGUUUUGGUCAAGUUUAGUUUAAGGAAGUGGGCAGCCAUUCAAUUAGAGACAGCAGAGAGGCAGGGAGAGAUCAGGAGAGGACAGGUAGAUUUGCGUGUCAUCUGCAUAGAAAUUAUAU